GACGAACGCUGGCGGCGUGCUUAACACAUGCAAGUCGAACGCUGAAGCUUGGUGCUUGCACUGGGUGGAUGAGUGGCGAACGGGUGAGUAAUACGUGAGUAACCUGCUCUUGACUCUGGGAUAAGCCUGGGAAACUGGGUCUAAUACUGGAUACGACAUGUCACCGCAUGGUGGUGUGUGGAAAGGGUUUUACUGGUUUUGGAUGGGCUCACGGCCUAUCAGCUUGUUGGUGGGGUAAUGGCUCACCAAGGCGACGACGGGUAGCCGGCCUGAGAGGGUGACCGGCCACACUGGGACUGAGACACGGCCCAGACUCCUACGGGAGGCAGCAGUGGGGAAUAUUGCACAAUGGGCGAAAGCCUGAUGCAGCGACGCCGCGUGAGGGAUGACGGCCUUCGGGUUGUAAACCUCUUUCAGCACGGAAGAAGCGAAAGUGACGGUAAGUGCAGAAGAAGCGCCGGCUAACUACGUG
rnacentral:rRNA from 1 species